rnacentral:rRNA from 1 species
UUAAUUGAAGAGUUUGAUCAUGGCUCAGAUUGAACGCUGGCGGCAGGCCUAACACAUGCAAGUCGAGCGGAAACGAAGAGGUGCUUGCACCUCUGGCGUCGAGCGGCGGACGGGUGAGUAAUGCUUGGGAAUGUGCCUUAUGGUGGGGGACAACAGUUGGAAACGACUGCUAAUACCGCAUAAUGUCUUCGGACCAAAGUGGGGGACCUUCGGGCCUCACGCCAUAAGAUCAGCCCAAGUGGGAUUAGCUAGUUGGUAAGGUAAUGGCUUACCAAGGCGACGAUCCCUAGCUGGUUUGAGAGGAUGAUCAGCCACACUGGGACUGAGACACGGCCCAGACUCCUACGGGAGGCAGCAGUGGGGAAUAUUGCACAAUGGGCGCAAGCCUGAUGAAGCCAUGCCGCGUGUGUGAAGAAGGCCUUCGGGUUGUAAAGCACUUUCAGUAAGGAGGAAAGGUUAAGUGUUAAUAGCACUUAGCUGUGACGUUACUUACAGAAGAAGCACCGGCUAACUCCGUGCCAGCAGCCGCGGUAAUACGGAGGGUGCGAGCGUUAAUCGGAAUUACUGGGCGUAAAGCGCACGCAGGCGGUUUGUUAAGCUAGAUGUGAAAGCCCCGGGCUCAACCUGGGAACUGCAUUUCGAACUGGCAAACUAGAGUGUGAUAGAGGGUGGUAGAAUUUCAGGUGUAGCGGUGAAAUGCGUAGAGAUCUGAAGGAAUACCGAUGGCGAAGGCAGCCACCUGGGUCAACACUGACGCUCAU